AUACGGAGACUGCAAGCGUUACUCGGAUUUACUGGGCGUAAAGCGCGCGUAGGCGGCUUUGUCAGUCGGAUGUGAAAGCCCUGGGCUUAACCUGGGAAUGGCAUUCGAUACUGCAGAGCUAGAGUAUGGUAGAGGGAAGUGGAAUUUCCGGUGUAGCGGUGAAAUGCGUAGAUAUCGGAAGGAACACCAGUGGCGAAGGCGACUUCCUGGGCCAAUACUGACGCUGAGGUGCGAAAGCGUGGGGAGCAAACAGGAUUAGAAACCCCAGUAGUCC
rnacentral:rRNA from 1 species